GAGGUUAUCAAGAAUUUGAAAGUCUAAGAGUCACUGAAAACUAAGCUGUGUUUUCUUAAAACCCUGCAAACUGAAGCCAGACAACUUGAACUUCAGAAGAAAAUAACAGCAACCUAUUUACGUACAUAAGCCACUUUCAUACCUGCCUACUAAUGUAUGGACUUCAGAGUAAUGUGGCUUAUAUCGAUUUUUCUAGGAUUGUUCUUUUGUUUGUUGUUGUUUUUUCUCCCUUCCUCCCUGCUAUUUUCUCUUCACAGAAUGUGAGACUUCACAACCUACUAAAAAUGAGCUUUU
rnacentral:lncRNA from 1 species